AGAGUUUGAUCAUGGCUCAGGAAGAACGCUGGCGGGGUGCUUAANACAUGCAAGUCGAGGGAAAGGCCCUUCGGGGUACUCGAGCGGCGAACGGGUGAGUAACACGUGAGUAACCUGCCCCUGACUCUGGGAUAAGCCUGGGAAACCGGGUCUAAUACCGGAUACGACCACUUCUCGCAUGUGAUGGUGGUGGAAAGUUUUUUCGGUUGGGGAUGGGCUCGCGGCCUAUCAGCUUGUUGGUGGGGUGAUGGCCUACCAAGGCGACGACGGGUAGCCGGCCUGAGAGGGCGACCGGCCACACUGGGACUGAGACACGGCCCAGACUCCUACGGGAGGCAGCAGUGGGGAAUAUUGCGCAAUGGGCGGAAGCCUGACGCAGCGACGCCGCGUGGGGGAUGACGGCCUUCGGGUUGUAAACCUCUUUCAGCAGGGACGAAGUUGACGUGUACCUGUAGAAGAAGCGCCGGCUAACUACGUGCCAGCAGCCGCGGUAAUACGUAGGGCGCGAGCGUUGUCCGGAAUUAUUGGGCGUAAAGAGCUCGUAGGUGGCUUGUCGCGUCUGCCGUGAAAGCCCGUGGCUUAACUACGGGUCUGCGGUGGAUACGGGCAGGCUAGAGGCUGGUAGGGGCAAGCGGAAUUCCUGGUGUAGCGGUGAAAUGCGCAGAUAUCAGGAGGAACACCGGUGGCGAAGGCGGCUUGCUGGGCCAGUUCUGACGCUGAGGAGCGAAAGCGUGGGGAGCGAACAGGAUUAGAUACCCUGGUAGUCCACGCUGUAAACGUUGGGCGCUAGGUGUGGGGGUCUUCCACGAUUCCUGUGCCGUAGCUAACGCAUUAAGCGCCCCGUCUGGGGAGUACGGCCGCAAGGCUAAAACUCAAAGGAAUUGACGGGGGCCCGCACAAGCGGCGGAGCAUGUUGCUUAAUUCGACGCAACGCGAAGAACCUUACCAAGGUUUGACAUACACCGGAAACACUUAGAGAUGGGUGCCUCCUUUGGACUGGUGUACAGGUGGUGCAUGGNUGUUCGUUAGCUCGUGUCGUGAGAUGUUGGGUUAAGUCCCGCAACGAGCGCAACCCUUGUUCCAUGUUGCCAGCACGCCCUUCGGGGUGGUGGGGACUCAUGGGAGACUGCCGGGGUCAACUCGGAGGAAGGUGGGGAUGACGUCAAGUCAUCAUGCCCCUUAUGUCUUGGGCUGCAAACAUGCUACAAUGGUCGGUACAGAGGGUUGCGAUCCCGUGAGGUGGAGCGAAUCCCUAAAAGCCGGUCUCAGUUGGAUUGGGGUCUGCAACUCGACCCCAUGAAGUCGGAGUCGCUAGUAAUCGCAGAUCAGCAACAAUGAGGUGAA
rnacentral:rRNA from 1 species